rnacentral:rRNA from 1 species
CCUACGGGGUGCUGCAGUGGGGAAUAUUGGACAAUGGGCGAAAGCCUGAUCCAGCCAUGCCGCGUGUGUGAAGAAGGCCUUCGGGUUGUAAAGCACUUUCAGUGGGGAAGAAAGCCUUGGGGCUAAUACCCUCGAGGAAGGACAUCACCCACAGAAGAAGCACCGGCUAACUCCGUGCCAGCAGCCGCGGUAAUACGGAGGGUGCGAGCGUUAAUCGGAAUUACUGGGCGUAAAGCGCGCGUAGGCGGUCUGAUAAGCCGGUUGUGAAAGCCCCGGGCUCAACCUGGGAACGGCAUCCGGAACUGUCAGGCUAGAGUGCAGGAGAGGAAGGUAGAAUUCCCGGUGUAGCGGUGAAAUGCGUAGGGAUCGGGAGGAAUACCAGUGGCGAAGGCGGCCUUCUGGACUGACACUGACGCUGAGGUGCGAAAGCGUGGGUAGCAAACAGGAUUAGAUACCCCAGUAGUC